UGGGGAAUCUUGGACAAUGGGGGAAACCCUGAUCCAGCGAUGCCGCGUGUGUGAAGAAGGCCUACGGGUUGUAAAGCACUUUUGUUGGGGAAGAGAGGUACAAUGUAAAUAAUGUUGUACUGAGACGGUACCCAAAGAAUAAGCACCGGCUAACUCUGUGCCAGCAGCCGCGGUGAGACAGAGGGUGCAAGCGUUAAUCGGAAUGAUUGGGCGUAAAGGGCGCGUAGGCGGCCGAUUAAGUUAGUUGUGAAAGGUACAGGCUUAACCUGUGAUGUGCAACUAAUACUGAUUGGCUAGAGUUUGGCAGAGGUAAGUGGAAUUCCCAGUGUAGCGGUGAAAUGCGUAGAUAUUGGGAGGAACACCAGUGGCGAAGGCGGCUUACUGGGCUAAAACAGACGCUGAGGCGCGAAAGCAUGGGGAGCGAACA
rnacentral:rRNA from 1 species